GAAAACCUGAGUCAGAAUCAGAGAACAUGACUUGUUUAGCAUCACACACCGUUUCUGACACAGGAUUCCAGUUUUGAAGAGCCGCAGACCGUCCAGGGUCACAGGCAGGGCUGCAGAAAGAAUUGGACAGGAAGGCCUUGAAAGGGCUGACCUACUGCAAGAAGAGAGGCUGGCCGAGAUGAAGGCUCAAUUGCAAGAGCUGUCCUUUGAAGAAAGGGGAGAGGCGCUUCCCAUCUACCUGGAGUGAUAUUUGACAUCAUGUACCGGAGAGCUAUCUCAGGGUCUCCGGACAACCUCGCUGGUCGACCUGCAUGAAUUGCGGCGCGACUCCUGCACCUUAGCACACACAACUGCUGCCAUUUCGACACUGAAAUAUGAAACUUAUUUAUUACGUUUCCAUCACAGGUUAAGACUUUCCACGACUACACUGUACUUUAUUCAUUGAGGAGACUCUCUCCACGCAGACACACUAUUCAUUUUUUGGUUGUGGCAUUUUGUGGUUUGUUUGUUUUGACACCUCUCAACACCCCUCAUAACCACCACAUCUA